GGAGAGGAAAAAACCAAACUCUAUCCCCUUGGCAGAGAACAUACAGUUAUUGGAAAAAGGCUUCUUCUUAGAGAGGCAUAAAGGAAAAAAACAGAUGGAAAAAAAAUCCUUUCAACAGCAGUGAAGGAUAAGAAAAACAAUUUGAUAUCUUAUGAUGAGGACACCCCUGGAAGCUGCCCUAGGCAUUGUUCAUUUCCAGGUUUUCACACAGUCUGGUAGAGCCAGAGUUUUCUCCUGUGUCAUUAUGGAGCUCGUUCCUUUCUGACUAUUGUCAAAUGUAUGAAUAAAAUGAAGUGAUGAAAUAAUUCAGCUGUUGUAACUUUCAGUGUAAAAUCCUGUCAUUAUUCUUCGUUGUACUUCCCAUAUUGAACCAGAACACAGGUUUGAGGACUGCAUCUCUAACAAAGGCUCAUCUGAUAAAGAAUACUCAAAUUAACUGGUGAGUUAGAUGGGAUAGAGUGGCUCCCACAGCAAACUGGCAGAUGACACCACAGUGGGAGGAGAGGAGAAGCUGAUACACCACAUGGAUGAGCUGUUAUCCAGAGGGACAUCCCCAAAACUGGAGGAGUGGGGUGACAGGACACUCAUGAGGUUCAGCAGGGGGAGUUGCCAGGUGAUUCUGUGAUGCACCACAGAAAAUUUAUGACUGCUGAAUGGCAAAAGAGGGA